CCCAAACGGAUUGGCCUUCAG
rnacentral:misc_RNA from 1 species